rnacentral:lncRNA from 1 species
UUCUAAUACUUAACAAACAUUCUUAGAAAUCUUUAUCAUGUAGUCACAUUCAUUCAGCCUAUUUCUUCUAUUAACAAAGUGAUUAUACAGUUACUAAAAAGAAGAACUUUUGUAUUCAUGCAGGACAACAACAGGCUGGAGUUGUUGCCCAUCCUCCUGCAGUGCCUCCAAGACCACAGCCCUCACAGGCUCCUGGUCCUGCUGUGCAUCGCCCAGUGGAUGCCGAUGGCCUCAUAACUCACACUAGUACCUCACCUCAGCAGAUACCAGAGCAACCAAAUUUUGCAGAUUUCAGUCAGUUUGAAGUAUUUGCUGCAUCAAAUGUAAACGACGAACAAGAUGAUGAAGCCGAGAAACAUCCAGAAGUCCUGCCGGCUGAAAAAGCUUCUGAUCCUGCAAGUUCUCUUCGAGUUGCCAAAACAGAUAGUAAAACUGAAGAAAAGACAGCUGCUAGUGCUCCUGCCAAUGUGGUAUGCAAAAUGUCUUUUAUAAUAAUAAUU